GCAUUAAUGGGGUAGUGGUAACCUGGGUCGUUGCCAUAUCGUGACGUUCGACCCGCCGGGGGUUCGAUUCCCCCUUAAUGCA